rnacentral:rRNA from 1 species
CAUACGCCCCAGAUCAAUACAUACAUUAUUAAGAUACUCAAGGGAGAUAUAUGAGAGUUAGUUGAAAGGGGUACAGCCCUUUUAACAAAGGAUACAACCUUUACAGGAGGAUAAAGAUCAUAAUAUAUAAAACAUACUGUUUUAGUGGGCCUAAAAGCAGCCACCUAAAUAGAAAGCGUUAAAGCUCAGACAGAAAGAAGUUUAUUAUACCGAUAAAAAAUCUUAUUCCCCUAAUUAUAUCAGAUCAACCCAUGCCCGCAUGGAAGAGAUUAUGCUAGAAUGAGUAACAAGAAGACCUGCGCUUCUCCUUGCACAAGUGUAAACCAGAUCGGACAAACCACUGGAACUUAACGAACCCAACCCAAGAGGGCAAUGUGAACAACAAAAAUUUCAGGAAGAACUCACAGUUAAAAUGAUCGUUAAUCCCACACUGGAGUGCUAUUUUAUAAAGGAAAGACUAAAGGAUAGGGAAGGAACUCGGCAAACACAAGCCUCGCCUGUUUACCAAAAACAUCGCCUCCUGCAACUAAACUGAGUAUAGGAGGUCCAGCCUGCCCAGUGACUACGGGUUCAACGGCCGCGGUAUUUUGACCGUGCAAAGGUAGCGCAAUCACUUGUCUCUUAAAUAGAGACCUGUAUGAAUGGCUAGACG